AACGAACGCUGGCGGCAGGCCUAACACAUGCAAGUCGAGCGAGGACUUCGGAUCUAGCGGCGGACGGGGGAGUAACGCUUGGGAAGGUGCCCUUCUCUACGGAAUAGUCCUUGGAAACUGGGGGUAAUACCGUAUAAGUCCUAUUGGGGAAAGAUACAUCGGACAAGGAUCAGCCCGCGUUGGUUUAGGUUGUUGGUGUGGUAAGGGCCUACCACGCCGUCGAUCGAUAGCUGGUUUGAGAGGCAGCGCAGCCACACUGGGACUGGGACGCGGUCCAGACUCCUACGGGAGGCAGCAGUGGGGAAUCCUAGAAAACGGGGGCAGUCAUGAUCGAGUCAGGCCGGGUGAGUGAUGAAGUCCUUAGAGUAGUAAAGCUCUUUCAGCUGGGAAGAUAAUGACGGUACCAGCAGAAGAAGCCCCGGCUAACUCCGUG
rnacentral:rRNA from 1 species